GAGGCUAUAGCUUAAUUGGUAAAGCGUACUACUUAUAACGGUAAUUAUAAGUAUUCAACUCAUUUUAGCCUUA
rfam:Coniochaeta ligniaria NRRL 30616 unplaced genomic scaffold CONLIGscaffold_20, whole genome shotgun sequence.